UACAGAGGUGGCAAGCGUUGUUCGGAAUUACUGGGCGUGAAGGGCGCGUAGGCGGCCUCGCAAGUCCCGUGUGAAAUCCCUCGGCUCAACUGAGGAAUGGCACGGGAAACUGCGGGGCUUGAGUUCGGGAGAGGGAAGCGGAAUUCCGGGUGUAGCGGUGAAAUGCGUAGAUAUCCGGAGGAACACCGGUGGCGAAGGCGGCUUCCUGGACCGAUACUGACGCUGAGGCGCGAAAGCUAGGGGAGCAAACGGG
rnacentral:rRNA from 1 species